UUAAUUUGAGAGUUUGAUCCUGGCUCAGGACGAACGCUGGCGGCGUGCCUAAUACAUGCAAGUCGAACGAACUCUGGUAUUGAUUGGUGCUUGCAUCAUGAUUUACAUUUGAGUGAGUGGCGAACUGGUGAGUAACACGUGGGAAACCUGCCCAGAAGCGGGGGAUAACACCUGGAAACAGAUGCUAAUACCGCAUAACAACUUGGACCGCAUGGUCCGAGCUUGAAAGAUGGCUUCGGCUAUCACUUUUGGAUGGUCCCGCGGCGUAUUAGCUAGAUGGUGGGGUAAUGGCUCACCAUGGCAAUGAUACGUAGCCGACCUGAGAGGGUAAUCGGCCACAUUGGGACUGAGACACGGCCCAAACUCCUACGGGAGGCAGCAGUAGGGAAUCUUCCACAAUGGACGAAAGUCUGAUGGAGCAACGCCGCGUGAGUGAAGAAGGGUUUCGGCUCGUAAAACUCUGUUGUUAAAGAAGAACAUAUCUGAGAGUAACUGUUCAGGUAUUGACGGUAUUUAACCAGAAAGCCACGGCUAACUACGUGCCAGCAGCCGCGGUAAUACGUAGGUGGCAAGCGUUGUCCGGAUUUAUUGGGCGUAAAGCGAGCGCAGGCGGUUUUUUAAGUCUGAUGUGAAAGCCUUCGGCUCAACCGAAGAAGUGCAUCGGAAACUGGGAAACUUGAGUGCAGAAGAGGACAGUGGAACUCCAUGUGUAGCGGUGAAAUGCGUAGAUAUAUGGAAGAACACCAGUGGCGAAGGCGGCUGUCUGGUCUGUAACUGACGCUGAGGCUCGAAAGUAUGGGUAGCAAACAGGAUUAGAUACCCUGGUAGUCCAUACCGUAAACGAUGAAUGCUAAGUGUUGGAGGGUUUCCGCCCUUCAGUGCUGCAGCUAACGCAUUAAGCAUUCCGCCUGGGGAGUACGGCCGCAAGGCUGAAACUCAAAGGAAUUGACGGGGGCCCGCACAAGCGGUGGAGCAUGUGGUUUAAUUCGAAGCUACGCGAAGAACCUUACCAGGUCUUGACAUACUAUGCAAAUCUAAGAGAUUAGACGUUCCCUUCGGGGACAUGGAUACAGGUGGUGCAUGGUUGUCGUCAGCUCGUGUCGUGAGAUGUUGGGUUAAGUCCCGCAACGAGCGCAACCCUUAUUAUCAGUUGCCAGCAUUAAGUUGGGCACUCUGGUGAGACUGCCGGUGACAAACCGGAGGAAGGUGGGGAUGACGUCAAAUCAUCAUGCCCCUUAUGACCUGGGCUACACACGUGCUACAAUGGAUGGUACAACGAGUUGCGAACUCGCGAGAGUAAGCUAAUCUCUUAAAGCCAUUCUCAGUUCGGAUUGUAGGCUGCAACUCGCCUACAUGAAGUCGGAAUCGCUAGUAAUCGCGGAUCAGCAUGCCGCGGUGAAUACGUUCCCGGGCCUUGUACACACCGCCCGUCACACCAUGAGAGUUUGUAACACCCAAAGUCGGUGGGGUAACCUUUUAGGAACCAGCCGCCUAAGGUGGGACAGAUGAUUAGGGUGAAGUCGUAACAAGGUAGCCGUAGGAGAACCUGCGGCUGGAUCACCUCCUUUCUAAGGAA
rnacentral:rRNA from 2 species